UCUUUGCUGGCGACCGGCGCACGGGUGAGUAACACGUAUCCAACCUGCCCUUUACUCGGGGAUAGCCUUUCGAAAGAAAGAUUAAUACCCGAUAGCAUAAUGAUUCCGCAAGGUUUCAUUAUUAAAGGAUUCCGGUAAAGGAUGGGGAUGCGUUCCAUUAAGUUGUUGGUGAGGUAACGGCCCACCAAGCCUUCGAUGGAUAGGGGUUCUGAGAGGAAGGUCCCCCACAUUGGAACUGAGACACGGUCCAAACUCCUACGGGAGGCAGCAGUGAGGAAUAUUGGUCAAUGGGCGCUAGCCUGAACCAGCCAAGUAGCGUGAAGGAUGAAGGCUCUAUGGGUCGUAAACUUCUUUUAUAUAAGAAUAAAGUGCAGUAUGUAUACUGUUUUGUAUGUAUUAUAUGAAUAAGGAUCGGCUAACUCCGUGCCAGCAGCCGCGGUAAUACGGAGGAUCCGAGCGUUAUCCGGAUUUAUUGGGUUUAAAGGGAGCGUAGGUGGACUGGUAAGUCAGUUGUGAAAGCUUGCGGCUCAACCGUAAAAUUGCAGUUGAUACUGUCAGUCUUGAGUACAGUAGAGGUGGGCGGAAUUCGUGGUGUAGCGGUGAAAUGCUUAGAUAUCACGAAGAACUCCGAUUGCGAAGGCCGCUCACUGGACUGCAACUGACACUGAUGCUCGAAAGUGUGGGUAUCAAACAGGAUUAGAUACCCUGGUAGUCCACACAGUAAACGAUGAAUACUCGCUGUUUGCGAUAUACAGUAAGCGGCCAAGCGAAAGCAUUAAGUAUUCCACCUGGGGAGUACGCCGGCAACGGUGAAACUCAAAGGAAUUGACGGGGGCCCGCACAAGCGGAGGAACAUGUGGUUUAAUUCGAUGAUACGCGAGGAACCUUACCCGGGCUUAAAUUGCAGUGGAAUGAUGUGGAAACAUGUCAGUGAGCAAUCACCGCUGUGAAGGUGCUGCAUGGUUGCCGUCAGCUCGUGCCGUGAGGUGUCGGCUUAAGUGCCAUAACGAGCGCAACCCUUAUCUUUAGUUACUAACAGGUUAUGCUGAGGACUCUAGAGAGACUGCCGUCGUAAGAUGUGAGGAAGGUGGGGAUGACGUCAAAUCAGCACGGCCCUUACGUCCGGGGCUACACACGUGUUACAAUGGGGGGUACAGAAGGCAGCUAGCGGGUGACCGUAUGCUAAUCCCAAAAUCCUCUCUCAGUUCGGAUCGAAGUCUGCAACCCGACUUCGUGAAGCUGGAUUCGCUAGUAAUCGCGCAUCAGCCACGGCGCGGUGAAUACGUUCCCGGGCCUUGUACACACCGCCCGUCAAGCCAUGGGAGCCGGGGGUACCUGAAGUACGUAACCGCAAGGAUCGUCCUAGGGUA
rnacentral:rRNA from 1 species